rnacentral:lncRNA from 1 species
GAUGAGUUAAUGAAAUUGCAUACCAUAUUCUUGUUGCUGGAGGCUUAAUGAUGCUGUUUGGCAUGAUUGGAUUCAUUUUUUUGAGCACUUUGAUUCUUGAUGAUUUUUGCAUGAUGAUGAUGAAUGCUGUUCUUGAUUAAGCCCUGCUGCUGAUUUGCUGUCUUAAUAUGCCCAAACUUUCCAUGGUUCAUGUUUGUUG